AUUGAACGCUGGCGGCAGGCCUAACACAUGCAAGUCGAACGAGUGGCGGACGGGUGAGUAAUGUCUGGGAAACUGCCUGAUGGAGGGGGAUAACUACUGGAACCGGUAGCUAAUACCGCAUACCAUCGGAUGUGCCCAGGUGGGAUUAGCUAGUAGGUGGGGUAAAGGCUCACCUAGGCGACGAUCCCUAGCUGGUCUGAGAGGAUGACCAGCCACACUGGAACUGAGACACGGUCCAGACUCCUACGGGAGGCAGCAGUGGGGAAUCUUGCACAAUGGGCGAAAGCCUGAGGCAGCCAUGCCGCGUGUAUGAAGAAGGCCUUCGGGUUGUAAAGUACUUUCAGUGGGGAGGCGUUACCCGCACAGGAAGCACCGGCUAACUCCGUGCCAGCCGCCGCGGUAAUUC
rnacentral:rRNA from 1 species